rnacentral:rRNA from 1 species
CUGGCGGCGUGCUUAACACAUGCAAGUCGAACGAUAAGCUAUUGAAGAUAGUGCUUGCACGAUUGGAAAUAGUGGAAAGUGGCGAACGGGUGAGUAACGCGUAAGCAACCAACCUUACAGAGGGGGAUAGCCCCGGGAAACUGGGAGUAAAACCGCAUAAGACCACAGUGUCGCAUGACACAGGGGGUAAAAACUACGGUGCUGUAAGACGGGCUUGCGUACCAUUAGGCAGUUGGUGAGGUAACGGCUCACCAAACCGACGAUGGUUAGCCGACCUGAGAGGGUGAUCGGCCACAUUGGGACUGAGACACGGCCCAAACUCCUACGGGAGGCAGCAGUGGGGAAUAUUGCGCAAUGGGGGGAACCCUGACGCAGCAACGCCGCGUGAGUGAAGAAGGUUUUCGGAUUGUAAAGCUCUGUCUUUGAGGACGAAUAAGAUGACGGUACUCAAGGAGGAAGCCCCGGCUAACUACGUGCCAGCCGCCGC